CCGCUACCUGAAAAACACAGCACUAAAGGGGUUAAAAAAGCUUCUCUGAAAUAUGCAGGGAGGAAAUCAGACUGAAUUGGGGAGGAGAAUUACUUGUACAGCACACGCCUUGUCAGUAAGUACGGCUCUCAGCCCUCGGAUGCAACGAGACAGUCAGAAGGCAGUGGGCAGCAUCACUGGCCACUGAUCAAGCCAGCAUCCCUUGAGUUGACUCUGGACAGGGAGGCAUUGCAAUGGCACCAGUAGGCUAAUGGUGUCCUGGGAUAUAUGUGACCCUGUUGCUGUGAUUCUGCCAUCCCACUGUCGUGUUUGCUAGUCACCCAGGGAGCAGGCAAAGGGAGAUGCAGUUUGGAAAUGAGUGCUGCUAAGCAGGAAACCCAGUGUCAGACGGCCGCACGAAUUGUCACUGACCUAUGUCGCCAGAAGAGCCUGCCCCAGCUGGACCUGGAAACCUGCAAAGAAUUUCUCCUUUUUCCCGACCUGAACGGCCCAGAGCCAGAACUCUCCAUCAGUCUUCUUGCAGUGAUAGUAAUUGUAUGCGGACUGGCUCUAGUGGCAGUUUUUCUAUUCCUUUUUUGGAAGCUGUGUUGGGUUCCUUGGAGGAACAAAUCUAUUUCAACUAACACCCCCACCACUCAGAAUUUGGCAGAGCACGACAAAGACAAUAUGGCUGACAAGCUAAAAGAUACUGGGACUCUUGGAUUCUUGGAAGCAGCAGUAAAAAUCAGUCACACUUCACCAGAUAUCCCAGCAGAAGUUCAAAUGUCUAUGAAAGAUCAUCUCAUGCGACGCACACGAAUGCAGAGACAAACAACAGAACCUGCGUCUUCCACCAGGCACAUUUCUUUCAAGAGGCACCUGCCCAGACAGAUGCAUGUUUCCAGUGUGGACUAUGGCACAGAUCUACCACUUGCAGCAGAGCAGCCCACUUGCAUUGGCCGGAUCAAGCCUGAGCUGUACAAACAGAAAUCUGUGGACUCUGAGGACCCCAAGAAAGAAGCUGAAAAAACCUGUGGGAAAAUAAAUUUUUCUUUGAAAUACGACUAUGAAAAUGAGACUUUGAUUGUGCGGAUCCUCAAGGCAUUUGACUUGCCUGCUAAGGACCUCUGUGGCAGUUCUGAUCCCUAUGUUAAGAUCUACCUCUUGCCUGACCGAAAACGCAAAUUCCAAACACGAGUGCACAGGAAAACUCUCAAUCCCACCUUUGAUGAAUGCUUUCAGUUUCCUGUGCCCUAUGAAGAGCUGACCAAUAGAAAGGUCCAUCUUAGUGUCUUUGACUUCGACAGGUUUUCCCGGCAUGAUAUGAUUGGGGAGGUGAUCCUAGAGAACCUUUUUGAAGCCUCGGAUCUCUCUCGGGAGACUUCCAUCUGGAAGGAUAUUCAGUACGCUACAACUGAAAGUGUGGACCUGGGAGAGAUCAUGUUUUCCCUUUGUUACCUGCCAACUGCAGGUCGCCUCACUCUAACAGUCAUUAAAUGCAGGAAUCUCAAAGCAAUGGAUAUAACUGGAUACUCAGAUCCGUACGUCAAAGUAUCUUUGCUCUGUGAUGGAAGGAGGCUGAAAAAGAAGAAAACCACUAUAAAAAGAAAUACACUUAAUCCUACCUAUAACGAGGCAAUAAUUUUUGAUAUCCCUCCUGAGAACAUGGAUCAAGUCAGUCUGCUUAUAUCAGUUAUGGAUUAUGACCGGGUUGGCCAUAAUGAGAUUAUUGGGGUUUGUCGUGUGGCAAACAAUGCUGAGGGACUAGGCCGAGACCAUUGGAAUGAAAUGUUGGCUUAUCCACGUAAACCAAUUGCACAUUGGCAUCCACUCGUAGAAGUGAAGAAAUCCUUUAAGGAGCAAUGUCCAGUAACUGGGUUGAAUGUCCCCAAGGCAGUGAUGCCUGUAGCAGAACCAUCCCAUUCCCUUUCUACUAUGAUGCUGCCUUCCUCCAAAUAUUCCAAGUGGCAUGGCCGUGCAGCCAGCUUUGAUAGUCAAGGUUCCUGCCCCUCUCCCAAACCACCUUCAACACCAUGAUCCAUCAAGUGGUGAAUAUUGGGCCUCAACCAAAUUCUUUUUGUUUUGCUCUGAUAUUUUCUCCAUGGGUCUUGAAUUCUAAUUCAACCUAUUGCUGAGUAACAGAAGAAUGAGGAUCAGACAUUCCUUGUUUCCACCAUGAAAAAAGGCACCAAGGCCUUUUACAGUGGUGUUUGUCUUAGUUAUUUCUAUCUAUCAAGGCCGUGUACUUUGUGUUUUUUCACUUUUUGGAUAUGGCUGCUAAAAAGAAGAAAAGAAAAGAAAAAAAGAAGAGAAAAGAAAAGAAAAGGCAUAGGCUGGAACUCUGGCCUAUAAAAUAAUAUGUAAAAUAGUUAUUUGUGUGUAUGUAAAGGAACAAAUAAUAGAGAACUGUUGUACUUCUGCACAUCAGCAUGCAGAUUUAAGAGAGACAGCAGAAUGAAAAUGAGAAGGCCUUGAUUAGGCUCCUUGUGACAUGUGAACACCCUUUUGUUAUUGUGAUCAGUUGAGACAUUACAGCUUUUCUUAUUCAUGCUGUGAUGUUCAUGGAAUCUGUGAAAUACAGCCCAGCCUAUCCUUCUGUAUAUUUUAAAGAAUUGCUAAUUCCUCAGGGAGAAAUGAUCCAUUUUUUGUAGUUGUGUUCUUGAAAGAGCCUUUUGCAUGAAUUCAGCUGCUUAAGGUCCUGUGAACUCCUGUGGCAGUUCUGCACUGAUUACAGAAAUGAAAUUUGUCUCAGAAGAAAACUAAAAGAACAUCUUUCAGUUCCUUAUGGAGAUUUUAAUAACUACUUAUGAAAAUAUCCAUGCCCUGCAUUUUGUUGCAUAGGUUCUCAGAGUGACAGGAAUUGACUGAUUUGAUCUUUGCUCAGAAACCAGGUGAGCUUGGGCCUUAUUAGCAUUUGGUUGGGAGACUACCACAGGAUAUCAGGGCUGCACAUAUCUGAAUGAAACAACAUUAAACUAUUUGCAGAUUGUUGUCAAGGGAACUACAUGGACACAAUCAUCAAGUCACAAGGAGUUACAGCAAGUUUUACUUUCACAAUAGUAAUGGCAGUAUAUGCUAAAAGCCCACUCCGCCCCAAAUCUUGAAGACAUAAAUUAAACAAGCAACAAAAUGAACUCAUGAGAUGAACAUCUUUAAAAAACGGAGAGAAAAAGACUCCAAAGCUCUGUAAAACAAUACUUUAAUAUCAUAUUGCUGUUAUUGUUAUUAUUUAUAAAGAAAGUGUGUCUUCAAAAAGUAAAUUACUUUUAAUUUAAAAAUGAACAAAGUGUUAGGACCUGAUGGCAUUUCUGCAAUAUAUUACAAGCUCUUUCAAUAAUUUUGAUUAAAUCGCUACUCCUGGUAAUGAAUGAAAUUCAACAACAAUCAGGGACUUCACAUCAUGGAAAGAAGCUUUUAUUUCUAUGAUUUACAAGGAAGAAAAUGAUCCAAUUUAUCAAAGUGAUAGAACUUAUUUUCUUAUUGAAUGUACAUCACAAACUUUUUAUCACAAACUUGCAAAGAGAACAAGUGAUUUUCUAGCUGAAUUAAUACAUCCUGACACAAUUUGAUUUGUUCCAAAGAGAUACGUGAGAGACAAUAUCGUAUACAUUGUGAAUGUUGUAAUAAUAUGAAUUAGAACAAGAGAAAUGGACCUUUGUUAAUGCAGAGAAAGCUUUUGAUUAUUUCGAAUGGUCUUCCAUACUUAAAUCUCUGAAGAAGAUAAUUUUUUACAUGAAUACAGAGUAUUUAUAAAGAAUAAGAAAGUCUUAAUAUGUUGAUGAUUUUUUAAUCACAAAAAACUACCCCAAUGAAAGGAACAAAAGCUGUAUCCUGCCUUGUUCAUUAUUCAUAGUGGCAUUGCAAAGAAGAUAUACCAAGAAAUGAAUUUUCAGGAAUUAAAUGCUGCUCAGUAACAUAAACUAAAAUUAUAUGCUGUUGAUGGGGUACUUACACUUACUAGACUAAAGGACACUUUAGAAUUGAUGAUGUUUACCUAUAUUAUUUUUUUAAAAAAAGAAUUGAUGAUGGAAUAUAUAUACCAUCAUGGUUUGACUUCAUGAUAUGAGAUAAAUAAAAUUCAAAUGCUGAGAUAGCUUAAUUGAAGAAGAAAAGCAUCAUUUGUACCACAUAAUCCAUUUUAAUUUCCCUGCAAAACAUGAUAAAAUAUGGCAAUUUACAUGACAAAUAUAAGCAUGUUUAAAAGUACUGUAUAUAUUUGUAGAUAAACCCAUCUGCAGAUUACUCUCAAAUUUUUAACCAAUAUUCCAUGCAAAAUGCAACACACACAAAUUAACUGACCAUCAAUGCUUGUAGGUUUGCAUUUUUGCAAUUGGUUUUUCUAUGGAUGGAACAUAUUUUCAUGGUAUUUUGGUUAAAAAAAUGAGGGUUGGCUUAUAACUGAGGAUAAGUCCAUCCUAAAAUAACUCAAACCCAAUUUAUGUGUGUGGGGUGUUGUUGUUUUGGCACCUAAAAUUCUUGAAUUAUCUGCAGGUAAAUACAGUAAUUAUUCACAGGUCUAUAAAAAUAUAAUGGCAGAUUUUUUUAAGGCCAAAUUUUAAGGUUAUUGCCUUUUUUGGAAAGAAUUUUAGCUGUUGAUAUGAAUAUUCUACUGAAUCUAAAUGUUCAGUUCCAAAUUACUUUAACAAAAAUUGAAAACAAGCUAUUAAACAAUAAUAGAGACAGGGAGAGCCAGUUUGGUACAGUUUGAUACACCAGGUUAGAAAACAGGAAACCUUAAGUUUUAGUCCUCCCUUGAUUACAAAACCAGCUAAGCAACUUUGGGACUGUCAUUCUCUCUUAGCCUUAGGAGAGGGCUUCCAAAACACAGUGCCAAGAAAUAUCCAGGGACUUAAUCUAUAAAUUGAUAGUGACUCUGAACAAGUUAAAAGUUGUAUAAUUAAAUGAACUUACAAUUUAAAUACAAUGACUGAUAUGCAAAAAUGGGAAUUUUAGUCAGAAAAAUAUGAAAUUCACACCCAAUAUCAUAAAGAAAACUGGUAUAAGAUGUCUUAUCGCAGGUAUGUUGACUGCUAAAAUGAUUAGUUCAUUCUCUAAACAUGGUUGAAAUGUAAUGCUCAGAUUGUGUUAUUUUUCCAUAUUUGAUAGCAAUAUGGUAAAGUUUUUAAAUGUUGGAAAAUAAUUUAUAUUGAAUGAAACCAUUUUAAAAGCUGAGUUUCCUUCCAACUUAUUUUUGAUUGAAUAUAUUAUUGCUAAACCUUGCCUUCCCACAAAAUAUAUUGAGUAAGCUUAUGUAUGAUAAUUGCUGCAAGGACACUCUACCCUUCCAACUUGAAAGUGUUCACAGUUCAUUCUAAAGAAAAAUAGCUAAUUAAGCUUUUGGAGUAUGCCUUGAUACCCAAUAUAAUAUGUCAAAAGUAACUCUGACACAGAAUUAAGUUCAACUGGGAAACCAGUUUCAGAUUAAAACUCAAUAUACGGGAUUUUAUCAUAUCUGAUGUGACAUUCAGAUAUCACAUCAUAUCUGAAAUAUGGGUUUAUCCUAACAUAAUCUUCAAUUGCUGAGAUAUGCAUCUGUUAUUUAGAUAUUAAGAAUGGAUUAUAGUUUUUAACAUGAUAUAGUACCGUGAUGGCGAACCUAUGGCACGUGUGCCACAGGUGGCCCGCAGAGCCAUAUCUGUGGGCACGUGAGUGUUGCCCUAGCUCAGCUCCAGCACAUAUGCGUGCACCAGCCACCUGAUUUUCGGCCCUUCCGGGCCCAACAGAAGCCAGGAAACAGGCUGUUUCCAGCCUCCUGAAAGCCUUCGGGGGGGUGGGGAAGGCAGUUUUCAUCCUCCCCAGACUCCUAAAAAGCCUCUGGAUCCUGGGGAGGGCGAAAAAUGGGCCUACCAAGCCCACUGUGCCAAAAGCAUGGGAGCGUGGGGGCGUCACACACAUAUGUGUGUGGGGGGGGCAGGAUGCAUUGAAUUAUGGGUGUGGGCACGCACGCACGCAAACCCCUUGAGCUCCCCCCACUUUUGGCACGUCAUGGCAAAAAGGUUAGCCAUCACUGAUAUAGUAUAUUCAGUUACUUAAAAUUAAUCAGUAAAAUACUGAAAAUGUUAACUGAUUUAAUGUUUGUAAACCCUCUGUUUUACGUUGUGCUUUUUCAUCCUUUCCCCCUUUUUUCUUUUUCUAUGUCUGUGUGUUUUAUUUUUUCCUUAAAAUACUUAAUAAAAAUAUAAUUUAAAAGGUAAACUACUUGAUGACCUACUUUUAAAAAUCCAGAAAUAAGUACCGUGAUCCUAAGGAAUUGCAAAGGAUUGGAGGAGAAUUACAUAAUGCAGAGGCUGAAGCAAGAAUGAGAAAGAAACCCAAAAUAAUCCUGCCUUGAGUUUGUUAGUAGAAUAGAGGACAGAAGGAAAUUUGGUUUUCAGUUUCUGUCAGUUAAGUAGCAUUCUUGGAUUCCUUGUGGUAACUAUUUCUUGAUUUGCCUCAAAGGUCUAACAGGAAUUUACUGUCUCCCUCUACUUUAUCCCAAAAACUGGAGUAAAGAAAUUUAACUGAGUAGCAGCAAACUAAGGAUGUCUUCUAUUAUGUAUACUGCGGCUUACUUAUAUCAGGAAAUGUGCUGCAGAAUAAACUAUCCAGACAAAUUUGGUUUGGGUUGCAAUAUAUCCUUCCAGACAACCACCAUGAAAAGAAGUGUUCGUAAUUCUGAAAAUUACUGUAAUAUGUACUGUAAUCUUUUCGCUGAAAUGAGUUUUAACUAUGAAGUCUAAAUUUGCUUUAGUGAGUAGUUUAUGCUAUCUAGUGACAAGAAAAAAACAUGAUGAAAAUUUGAUGAAGAUAUGGAUAGUCCUUAUGAUCAAAAUUGGGCUGAAAUUUCUGUGCACUUGUUGCAUAAAUUGAGUUGGACUUGAUUUUAUAACAUUUUUAUGGCACUCAUCAAGGAAAUCAUAGCAUUUGCUGUUAAGCAAAUCCAGCUUUCCCAAUGGUGAGGUUUUUUUGGGGGGGGUCAGAAAUCAGCAAAAAAAGGUUGCUGAUAGUCAUAAUAAAAAGACUAUAGGACACUGCAGUCAGCUUAAAAUGUGAGCUGGUUGCCAAGUACCCAAAUUGCAAUCAUGUGACCAUGGAGAUGGUGCAAUGGUUCUAAGUGCAAAUAAAAGUUAUAGGUCACUUUUUCCAAGGCUGUUGUAAUUGUGAACCAUCAUUAAAUGAAGAGUUGUAAGCUAAUAACCAGCUGCAAUGACUGAUUUCGACAAUACAUGUUUCACUAAGCACGUACUGUAUAUGCACUUUGAAUGUAUCUAUCUAGGUUUGGGAGCAAUUUGAAAGUUCGAGCCAUUCUUACAUAUUUUCUAUAUGGAAUGGCGACAGCUCAUUUGGUAAAGCAUAUUAUUUGUAUGCAAAGUGACCAGAAUUCAGUUCAAGAAAGACUGCUAUGGAAAACCUGGAAAAAUCAAUGUAAUAUUAAGCUUCUUGGACCAAUGGUUUGUUUAAUUCAAAGCAAUUUAUUAAGUUCCAUCAUAUAAAUGAAUAUUUCAUAGAAUAUUUCAAACAAACAAACAAACAAACAAACAAAUAAAUAAAUGUCAAUAUGAUGAUCUGACUGUAAACUUAGUCAGUGUUUAGGAAUGCUCCAUAGGAGUAAGCUAUCCUACUCUAUAUUUUAUGUGAUGAUUAAUCAAGAAAACAUUGAUGUUGGUACUAUUGCAUUUUUAACAUAUGAAAACCAAGACAUUAAAUUGCUACUGUGCGGCUUCUUGAUGAUGUCUUUGAAAAAUUUUAGAUGUUAACACUCUGAAGAUAUCCCAUUGAAUCUAAUGUAUGCCUUAUACAUUGAUUUGCCCUUGAAAAAUGGUUAGGAACUCCAGUGGUUGAAAACAAUGGCUUAAUUCCUGACUGGGAGCAUGCAUACAAAAUACAUCUCAUCAACUUUAAACAGUCUUGUAGAUCAUUAAUUAAUUAAUUAAAAGCAAGUUGGAUUAAUACCUUCCUUUGUAGUUUAUAUAAUGAUUGUGAACUAGACAAAGAUGUUGUCCUUUGAUUCUGAAAUGUCUCUUAAUGCAGCUAGUUGUUAUUGAUAAGUACCUUCACUAAGCACUUUUGCUGGUAAAAACACAUCAGAUUUCACAUGCUGUAGAAAUGCAGCUGCUAGAACCUUUCUUUGUGCCUCUGUGAAAUUCUUUUAAGAAUUUUUUUUCUUAUUUAUAAUGUGAUGUUAUAAUUAAUAGUGUCAAUUGUUGUUUUAUCCUAUGUUUGUGCUGCACUUAAUAACAAGCUCACAACAAAUAAAAUUACUACUGCUAUUAAUACUUUUUCUUCAAGAAGAAAUGGAGUCUUAUGCAUUCAGAUGUUUAAAUCUAUCCUUAUAUUAUAAGCCCAAAAGUGUGAGGGUUAAAUGCCCAGAUGACAAGUUGCAUAUUUCAAAGCAUCUUAACCAUAUGUUUGAGUUUGAACAACUGAAA